AGCCACAGAGUGAAACCUUCUUCACCCGCUGCCUCCAGAGCCAGGCCUGGAAGUCACAUUCGGGAGAAUCUCAGCUAAGAAAUCUGCUCCUGAUCGCCGCUUCCGCGACUCAAGGAAAUGAAACGCCAUUAAUAUUUGAAAAGGCAAUUAUUUUCCUGUUGAAUCGAAAACUGUCUUCAUGAAUAAUUUGUAGAGAGUUCUAUUGCCAUUUGAGAAACAUUUUGUUGCUGUUUUGCCUCCUCCUUUUCUUCCCAUUACUUAGGAGGUUUGAGGGAGACACCGGAACAGGGAAGGCUCUAUGGUUUGGUUUCUUUCUCUUUUCUUUCUUUCUUUCUUUCUUUCUUUCUUUCUUUCUUUCUUUCUUUCUUUCUUUCUUUCUUUCUUUCUUUCUUUCUUUCUCUCUUUCAUUUUUUUUUAAACCCAAGCUGUAAUGAAUUAGGACAGAGGCCGAAAAGAACGCGCAGAAUUCUGCCUUGAGUCCAAGCAAACCUGAGAGCCAGCCAGGCACACUUUUGCUUCUCUGAUGUAGGUCGAUUACGCUAAGAAUUUAACCAUUUUCUGCUUCACAGACUUCAAACAGUGGGCCGGCAAAGAGCAGUAUAAGUUUGUUUGCUUCAAAAUCCCUGUCAUUAAAGAUGAGUUCUUUCUCCAGCCCCGGAUUGCGCAUCCACUUUCCCGGUGCUGGCAGCCAGCCUCUGGAGCAGCUAGUCUGAGGUCUGGAAUCCUGGUCUUACUUAUUCCUCUGUCCCUGGGGAUAUAACUCGGGAAGAGAGGGGACCAAAGGGAUGAGAGAGAGUGGGGGGAAGAGCUCAUAACGUGCUUUAGAAAGCCGUACAAGAUGUUUGCUGACAUGCUAGGGGAAUAAAGAACAAGAGCCCAAACUG
rnacentral:lncRNA from 1 species